rnacentral:rRNA from 1 species
CGUGUAGGCGGUCGGUCAAGUCCGAUGUGAAAGCCCGGGGCUCAGCUCCGGAAGGGCAUCGGAAACUAGCCGGCUAGAGCGCGAUAGAGGAGGGUGGAAUUCCUGGUGUAGCGGUGAAAUGCGUAGAUAUCAGGAGGAACACCGGCGGCGAAGGCGGCCCUCUGGAUCGUUGCUGACGCUGAGACGCGAAAGCGUGGGGAGCAAACAGGAUUAGAUACCCUGGUAGUCCACGCUGUAAACGAUGGGUACUAGGUGUUCGGGGUAUUGACCCCUGAGUGCCGCAGCUAACGCAUUAAGUACCCCGCCUGGGGACUACGGCCGCAAGGUUAAA